GACGAACGCUGGCGGCGUGCUUAACACAUGCAAGUCGAACGAUGAUGGAGAGCUUGCUNUUCGGAUUAGUGGCGAACGGGUGAGUAACACGUGAGCAAUNUGCCCUUGACUNUGGGAUAAGCGUUGGAAACGACGUCUAAUACCGGAUACGACCCUUGGAGGCAUNUCCGGGGGGUGGAAAGAAUUUUGUUCAGGGAUGAGCUCGCGGCCUAUCAGCUAGUUGGUGAGGUAAUGGCUCACCAAGGCGACGACGGGUAGCCGGCCUGAGAGGGUGACCGGCCACACUGGGACUGAGACACGGCCCAGACUCCUACGGGAGGCAGCAGUGGGGAAUAUUGCACAAUGGGCGAAAGCCUGAUGCAGCAACGCCGCGUGAGGGACGACGGCCUUCGGGUUGUAAACCUCUUUUAGUAGGGAAGAAGCGAAAGUGACGGUACCUGCAGAAAAAGCACCGGCUAACUACGUGCCAGCAGCCGCGGUAAUACGUAGGGUGCAAGCGUUGUCCGGAAUUAUUGGGCGUAAAGAGCUCGUAGGCGGUUUGUCGCGUCUGCUGUGAAAACCCGAGGCUCAACCUCGGGCCUGCAGUGGGUACGGGCAGACUAGAGUGCGGUAGGGGAGAUUGGAAUUCCUGGUGUAGCGGUGGAAUGCGCAGAUAUCAGGAGGAACACCAAUGGCGAAGGCAGAUCUCUGGGCCGUAACUGACGCUGAGGAGCGAAAGCAUGGGGAGCGAACAGGAUUAGAUACCCUGGUAGUCCAUGCCGUAAACGUUGGGAACUAGAUGUGGGGACCAUUUCCACCGGUUUUCC
rnacentral:rRNA from 1 species